rnacentral:rRNA from 1 species
CCCUUAGAUGUCCUGGGCCGCACGCGCGCUACACUGAUGCAUUCAACGAGUGACCUUAGCCGAGAGGCCUGGGCAAUCUUUUGAACGUGCAUCGUGAUAGGGAUAGAUUAUUGCAAUUAUUAAUCUUGAACGAGGAAUUCCUAGUAAACGCAGAUCAUCAUUCUGCAUUGAUUACGUCCCUGCCCUUUGUACACACCGCCCGUCGCACCUACCGAUUGAGUGGUCCGGUGAGGCUUUGGGAUCUGAGCGGAAAGAGCGUUUCGCUGUUUCUGCUCGGAAAACUCAGUCGAACCUUAUCAUUUAGAGGAAGGAGAAGUCGUAACA